GGCGACGUAGCCAAGUGGUUAAGGCGAGGGUCUGCAAAACCCUUAUUCGGCGGUUCGAUUCCGCCCGUCGCCUCCA
rnacentral:tRNA from 2 species